AGCGAACGCUGGCGGCGUACUUAACACAUGCAAGUCGAACGAGGAGUGCUGGCGUAGCAAUACGUCGGUGCUUCGAGUGGCGUACGGGUGAGUAACACGUGGGCAACCUGCCCUUGAGACCUGGAUACCCUCUCGAAAGGGAGGCUAAUACUGGAUACGCUCCUUGGGUCGCGAGACCUGGGGAGGAAAGGUGGCGCAAGCUGCCGCUCUUGGAGGGGCUCGCGGCCUANCAGCUAGUUGGUGAGGUCACGGCUCACCAAGGCGAUGACGGGUAGCUGGUCUGAGAGGACGACCAGCCACACGGGGACUGAGACACCGGCCCCGACUCCUACGGGAGGCAGCAGUGGGGAAUUUUCCGCAAUGGGCGAAAGCCUGACGGAGUGACGCCGCGGUGGGGGACGAAGGCC
rnacentral:rRNA from 1 species